AACGAACGCUGGCGGCGUGCUUAACACAUGCAAGUCGAACGCGAAAGGGACUUCGGUCCUGAGUAAAGUGGCGCACGGGUGAGUAACGCGUAGAUAACCUGUCUUUAUGUCUGGAAUAAUAACGCCGAAAGGGGUACUAAUACCGGAUAUUUUUGCAUUGCAUAAGCAGUGUAAGCAAAGGUGGCCUCUGACAUAAGCUACUGCAUAAAGAGGGGUCUGCGUACCAUUAGCUAGUAGGUGGGGUAAAGGCCUACCUAGGCUACGAUGGUUAGCGGGUCUGAGAGGAUGAUCCGCCACACUGGCACUGGAACACGGGCCAGACUCCUACGGGAGGCAGCAGUGAGGAAUAUUGCGCAAUGGGGCAACCCUGACGCAGCGACGCCGCGUGAGUGAGGAAGGCCUUCGGGUCGUAAAGCUCUGUCAAAGGGAAAGAAGUGCAUGGUGGUUAAUACCUGCCAUGUUUGACGGUACCCUUAAAGGAAGCACCGGCUAACUCCGUGCCAGCCGCAGC
rnacentral:rRNA from 1 species